UACGGGGGGGGCAAGCGUUGUUCGGAAUUACUGGGCGUAAAGGGCUCGUAGGUGGCCAACUAAGUCAGACGUGAAAUCCCUCAGCUUAACUGGGGAACUGCGUCUGAUACUGGAUGGCUUGAGUUUGGGAGAGGGAUGCGGAAUUCCAGGUGUAGCGGUGAAAUGCGUAGAUAUACGGAGGAACACCAGCGGCGAAGGCGGGUAGCUGGGCCAACACUGACGCUGAUGCGCGAAAGCUAGGGUAGCAAACGGG
rnacentral:rRNA from 1 species